rnacentral:misc_RNA from 1 species
GAUGAAGAACGCAGCGAAAUGCGAUACGUAAUGUGAAUUGCAGAAUUCAGUGAAUCAUCGAGUCUUUGAACGCACAUUGCGCCCCCUGGUAUUCCGGGGGGCAUGCCUGUCCGAGCGUCAUUGCUGCCCUCAAGCCCGGCUUGUGUGUUGGGUCUCGUCCCCCUUCCCGGGGGGACGGGCCCGAAAGGCAGCGGCGGCACCGCGUCCGGUCCUCGAGCGUAUGGGGCUUUGUCACCCGCUCUGUAGGCCCGGCCGGCGCUUGCCGAUCAACCAAAACUUUUUUCCAGGUUGACCUCGGAUCAGGUAGGGAUACCCGCUGAACUUAAGCAUAUAAUAAGCGGAGGA